rnacentral:rRNA from 1 species
UACGAAGGGGGCUAGCGUUGUCGCGAAUUACUGGGCGUAAAGGGCGCGUAGGCGGCCGAUUAAGUCGGGGGUGAAAGCCUGUGGCUCAACCACAGAAUUGCCUUCGAUACUGGUUGGCUUGAGACCGGAAGAGGACAGCGGAACUGCGAGUGUAGAGGUGAAAUUCGUAGAUAUUCGCAAGAACACCAGUGGCGAAGGCGGCUGUCUGGUCCGGUUCUGACGCUGAGGCGCGAAAGCGUGGGGAGCAAACAGG